UUUUCUCCAGGAGGAAAAAAAAUGUAUUUUUUUAACUUGAACAAAUAUUUGAGUCUAUGUUAACUAUUUUCACCUGAUUACCACGAUUUGUAUAUGUAAUUUAAAAAAAAAUCUGUAGUCAGAUGUACAUACAGAAAAAAAAAGAAUCUGAAUUCACCAAUCAAAACAGAACCCUGGGGUGCUCAGGGAGCCAUCAUUUCCAGGAAGGCAGGCAGGGGUUUGGAAAGAAAUGAGAAAUGGCGGCAGUGCGGGAAGCAUUCCUUCCGUUAUAUACACGUUUUGACAUUGAGGGUUUUCAGAGCCACAUUCCUGUGACAGAUGUCGUAAAUUUUGUGUCAAACAGUGAAUGAAGCUAUGUUGAGGGCUGACUCAUACGAAUGCAACUUUUGCCAAAUUUUGGACACACAGGCAUCAACCUAGAGGAUGAGACUGGUUCCCGCUGCCUGUGAGUUUUCUUUCCAUCUGUUCCCAAGGCCGAGGCAAACAAAGAGGAUGGUUCAGAGCCAGAUGGCCCAGUUGGAUCUUCCUCCUGAAGUCACAAGGAGGCAAGGCUCCAUCGCCCUUCAGGACUAAAAUCCAGUAUCGACGAACAGCAAGAACAGCCCCUCUCCAGUGGGGAGGGCAGGGCUUGAGUAGACCCAGCACGACGGAGCAACCAACCACGGCCAGCUCUCGGGGAGCCACCUCCCCCGUGCCAUCCGGAAGAGAGCGCCUAGGUCCUGUGUCUCCUCCGAGGCGUGAUGGGGUUUGCCUCCGGGGUUCGGUUUCUUGGGGAUUCACAAUGACACUAUGAAAACUCAGCUCACCUGGUUGUUGAUCUUAUUUCCAGACACUGGAAGGUUACCUAGGGCACUUGAAAGUUUUCUUUGGACAGUAAUGAAAUCCUUGUCCUCCUCUGGUGAAAUCCUUAUCGUCUGAGGUCCUGCUUCAUGGUUUCCUCUGUCGAGAUGUGGUUGUAUCUCUAGCCUCGAAACAAGGGUCAGCAGGAGGAAGCAGGCUCUUCUCAGUCGGAGCAGAUCCUGGAUAUGCAGAGAAGGCAGCAGCCUAGCUUCCUGGCUGUGGCUCUUAUCUAGAGCAGCUUUGGGGUGUGGGGCAGGGUGCAGGGACCCAGCCAGCACCAGGAACAAAAGCCAAACACCUGCUCUGUGCUUUUGAAUCUGGUUGGCCAGGGUGUCUGACACCAGGGAACAUCUUUCCUUUCACACUCCAUUGUCUUGUGGCUUCAAUUACAUUCCUGACUCAGAGCCCAGCAAUGGGGAUAGCAGACACUCCAGAAAUUCUUAGAGCAGUGACUCACUUGAGUUUUCAGCCUCCCCACCCUGCUAACCGUGCCGCACACGUCUGGUCCUCCAGGGGGAGGGCAUCAGCACCUCCACAAGCUGGGCCAGCGUCCUCUGGCCUCAGAACUGGUGUGAGGGUGGGUCCUACCGGGGUGAGCACUGAGUGCAUCAGCAAGAGCGGGAGACCCAAAAGAAUGAGGAAAAAAGAUAGAAUUUAAUAUUUUACAUUUCCCCCCUCCAAAACCAUUAAUGAAGUCUUUAUUGGAAAAAUCUGAAUAUCCUUGGUCUUCCUUCCACUUACUUUACAGCGAUGUUUUACCUUGAGUUACAAACGUGGGAAGUCUUAAGCUGACUGUAUAUCUCUUUGAUGCCGUGGAGCGCCACCACGAAGAGCUAGGGCCCUCUGCAAGCUUCUCACUUGCACACUUGCCCUUGACUCUCCUGAGGACCCCACCCUGCCGUCCCCCAACCCAGAGCAUUCUUCACCCCGCCACCACUCUCACACGGGGCAAAUGCCGACCACAGUUAUGUGCUAUGUGUUUUUGUGAGUCUGCAACACUGAAAACACUCGGGUUCAGUCCCUGGUUCUUCCCGGGUAGCAGCUGGAUGGUUUGAGGCCAGUCAUUUUGGCCUCUCCAAAGCUGCUUCCUCCUCUAAGCCUGUCCUUUAUGGUUGCAUUAAAGAAUAAAAGAUAAAAUAUGUCCAGGGCCUGGUACGAGGCAGACUAUCAGCAAAUACUAGGGUUGUCAAUGCCCUUUCUUCACGCCUGGUCCAUUGUAAAAGGAAGACUGAGCAGGUCCUGUCUGUCCCUUAAAAAGAACCCCUGCCGCCUCACGUUAGCCUGAAGGGUCUUGCAUGGAAACUUGGCGCUUCGAAAUAGCCCCAUGAGUCUCCUGCCUCCACUGCCCAAGCUUUUAAAGCGGAGGGGCGUCUCCAGAGAGAGGCUGGUUCAAAGGGUGAUGCCGGCAUCGUUUUCUGAAACUAAUGCUUAAUUUUUUUCUUUUAUUUUAGAGUCAGCCAUUAACAAAACAGCAGGAGAGUGUGUCUGAGGGCUCCUCAGGGAGCGAGGCCCAGCUGGGAAGGGCAGGGCCAGUCCUGAGCCUCCGAAAAUAUGAUAACACAGUGAAAGCGAGUUUGGCGGUGGCUUACCAUGAACAGCUUCAGAAUCUAUCCUGGAACAUCUGGCACCUAACCCAGGACCUGGCAUGUCGUCGGCGCUCACCAGAGAGAGACUUCUCAGCGGUGGAGAAGGAAGUGAUUUACUCCAGGCACUCCCAGCAAGAUGCCUGCUGGUCGACUUGAAGGAAUGUGAACUUGGGCUGAGCUGGCAGCGUGGAGAUUUUCAAGUGAGACGUCACCUCCCAGUCGGGGAAGUUGGUCAAGUCGGAUCCCAGUCUAAAGGAUGAAAACACAGCUUCAAGACCCGUGCCCUAGACUCUUCUCAGACUGCCAGCUCUAAGUCCUACUGGUGCCAUGGACUUCACACGGAUCCUCUUAGGCAGCAAUAACUUGCAAUAACUAUCCGAACAGAAGAAAUUAAAACGUUUUCACGGGCCUCCUAAAGCAUCCUGGGCCCCGGACACUGCGCCUCGCCUGAUGAAUGGAGGAGAAGUUGGUCCUGCUCCCCACCCACCCCACGGCCCUGUUUGAUGAAACAAGCAAAGAGCCUGUUGCAUUUGCUGAAGGAAAUUCACAGUGUAGAGCAUCUCUUCACUGAAGAGAGUCAAGUAAUAAAAGACAGUCAGGAGGAGAGACCCUAGAAAGCCCAGGCCUGGGUGUCAGAGGCCUCGGUCUUUGUUGGGACUUUGCUACCUGACUCCUCAGUUGUCCUGUGGAAACAAGGGUACAUUGUUUGGGGGUUAUGUUGAAGGUCAAAGGAGCCAGAGGCAGGGCCAGGAGCGGGAGUGAAGUUUUAAUGAAGCCAGAACUCAGAUUGAUCUCAUGACUCUGAUGGGGAAAAUAAGCCAAAGGCAAGCAAAAGCCCUGACCUGAGAGACGGUGAGGUCCCCACCCCGGGGACACCCCGGGGAGUGUCCAGAGGGGCUCCUGCCCAGGUGCUCUCAGGAGAUGGAGGCCCCAGAUAAACAGACAAUCCAAGGGGCCUCGGGGGUGCGGGCCUUCCGGGCAGGUAUGCUGUUUGAGAGAGAAGCAGCCAGACAAGGGAAGGGAGCCACGUGGGCACAGGCUCCCUGCAGAGCAGCCCCGGGCGGGUGGCCGCCCUGCUGGCACAGGCAGCUUUGCGGAUGUGGGGUGAGGGAGGGUGGGCAGCGGGUGGAAAGGGUAGCGCCGACCAGAUGGCAGAAAGCCACGAGGUACAUGAGUGACCUCUCUCCACGGCCCGCGGAAUUUGUCAGGUCACCAACUUCAUGAAACGUGGUUGAAUAUUUUGUAGGAAACAAUGAAGGAGCUGAGCUUUGCGACCAGUUUUGACAUUAGCUGAAACCGAAAAGUGCAGAUAUGCGAGAGCAAGGAAUCAGAAGAUGCCAGAAGGGAGGUGAGGCACAGGCCAAUGAUCUUGGCAAGGGCUUCGGGCAGCCACAGUCAGGGCCAUCUGGUGAGCAGGCCCCACAGGCACAGGGCCUCUGGCAGGUCAGCUUUUUUCAAAAGCUUCUGAAAAUAUGUGAGACAAGAAAAAAAAAAUUAAUGGAUCUAAAAUACAAAGAGAAAAGUAUAAAAUUGAGAGUAAUACAUUUAAUGAGACAUCUGUAGGACAUAAUUAUGUCAACUUCACUUUUCAAUUUAGUAUUUAUAAGUUCUUUAUAGUUGAAAAGAAAGCUAUGUUUUGAUUUUUCUCACUCUAUAAAAUUUCCUGUGUCUGUAUGAUGACAGCCUGGAAAGCAGAGCCAAUCACAUAGUCAGCGGAUGACUGGGCAGCUAAAUAGUUUCAAAAGCAAAAUUAAGAAAACCCUUUUGAUUUUUUUUCCCACAGCAAGAAUGUUACAUUUAAUGUGAAAUAAAAGUAUAUUCUAAUUUU